rnacentral:lncRNA from 1 species
UGAUAUGCCAAUACAUCGACAAUUACAUCGGUUGGCACCAAUGAAGUAGAAGCAUGAUGAACUGAAUUACAGGAUUGCCCUAUAAAAACAGAAGAAGGCAAAACUAGGGGGUUGAAUAUGCCUUGGUAAGGAAAUAGAUCUGCCACUUUGAAAAUUGGGCUUCUAUUUAUACAUGAUGGCAAAUCAAGCAAAUAUGCAUUAGAUCUAAGCCUUCUAAUGAUAGGGAAUGGGCUAAGUGGGUGGGCAUGAAGUUUCUUGGUCAAAUUUAUAGGGUAAUGUUCAGGACAAAUAUGAACUAGAGCAUAAUCACCCUCUUUGAACUCUUUAUACUUGUGAUAUGCUGCAUAUGCAUCAGUAGUAAGUUUAUAAUCUGCAUUAUUGAAAGCAAUUUUCUAUCAUAUCUCGGCAUGUAAGUCACAAAUAUGGUCAUCAAAGGUCUAGGCGGAAUAAGAAGGACAAUAAUCAGUAUACAAAGGAACAAGAUUAAUGGGAUGGCAUGGUGAAGAAUCAUCAACAACUUCAAAAGAACUUUUUCUUGUGGACUGAGUAACUGAAUUAUUGUAAGCAAACUCAACUAUGGGUAGAACAAAAUCCCAAUUAAAAGGUUUCUCACAAACUGGACACCAAAGCAAGUCACUUGGACUAUAAUUAACUACUUUUGUCUAACUAACUAUUUGAAGAAGAAUACUUCAAAGUGGUUCCAAACAAUUUCCAAAAAUAGCUAACAAACUUGGCACACCUAUCAAACACUAUGGUUGAAGGUACAUCAUGUAAUCUCACAAUUUUAUUCAAAAACAACUUUGACACAUGGGAAAUAUCAGAGCACUCUUGGAACAUUAGACAAAAUGAACAUCUUAAAAUAUCCGUCCACAACUACCAAAAUGGAAUCAUGACUUCUAGCAGUCCUGGGACAAAGUCCAUGUUAAGAUGACACCAAGGUGUAUGUGGCACACGUGGUGGAGUGUACAAACCUGUGUUUUGCUUCUUAGCCUUACCUAACUGACAGGUACGAAAUUGGGCUACUAUUCUAGCACAUCCAUUUUCAAUGAAGGCCAAUAAAACCUAU